CCUACGGGUGGCAGCAGUGGGGAAUAUUGCACAAUGGGGGAAACCCUGAUGCAGCGACGCCGCGUGAGUGAAGAAGUAAUUCGUUAUGUAAAGCUCUAUCAGCAGGGAAGAAAAUGAAGGUAACUGAGUAAGAAGCCCCGGCUAACCAAGUGCCAGCAGCCGGGGUAAUACGUAGGGGGCAAGCGUUAGCCGGAUUUACUGGGGGGAAAGGGAGCGUAGACGGCAGUGCAAGUCUGGAGUGAAAGGCGGGGGCUCAACCCCCGGACUGCUCUGGAAACUGUAUGGCUGGAGUGCUGGAGAGGUAAGUGGAAUUCCUAGUGUAGCGGUGAAAUGCGUAGAUAUUAGGAGGAACACCAGUGGCGAAGGCGGCUUACUGGACUGUAACUGACGUUGAGGCUCGAAAGCGUGGGGAGCAAACAGGAUUAGAUACCCGGGUAGUC
rnacentral:rRNA from 1 species